rnacentral:tRNA from 1 species
GGGGACGUAGCUCAGUUGGCUAGAGCACCUGCUUUGCAAGCAGGGGGUCGUGCAUCUGGUCACUGGGCCGUAUCCA